rnacentral:rRNA from 1 species
GUGAGUAAUGUCUGGGAAUCUGCCUGAUGGAGGGGGAUAACUACUGGAAACGGUAGCUAAAACCGCAUGACGUCGCAAGACCAAAGUGGGGGACCUUCGGGCCUCACGCCAUCGGAUGUGCCCAGAUGGGAUUAGCUGGUAGGUGGGGUAACGGCUCACCUAGGCGACGAUCCCUAGCUGGUCUGAGAGGAUGACCAGCCACACUGGAACUGAGACACGGUCCAGACUCCUACGGGAGGCAGCAGUGGGGAAUAUUGCACAAUGGGGGAAACCCUGAUGCAGCCAUGCCGCGUGUGUGAAGAAGGCCUUCGGGUUGUAAAG